ACCCCCUCCCCUGUGUCGCAGCCGCGAGGCGCCAACGCGAGCCUCCGCCCGUCCCCCCAUCGCGGGGACUCAGGGGAGCAUCCAACCCCUAGCUGCCAUCAUGUUUCUUUUUCUUUUCGUUGCCUGGAGGUGAAUUUACUUAGCAGCUCGAUUUUAUUCUGAAACAUUGUAGAUAGUUGAAUUAUUUCUUCUCUGCCUGGGGAUCGGCUCGAGUGUCGCUUGGGCCGGCAUGGAUCCAAGAUCGACGGCGCCGUCCUCGUCGAUUGCAGAGGUGAUGAUGGGGAACUGAAACUGGUAGCUCGCCGAGCGGUCCAGCUAAAACAUUGAUCUUUUUCCCUUCGUAGCUAGUGUUCACCGCUUGCUAAUUACAAGUGUAGUGGAUGCUUCCAAAUUAAUAGAUGAUACGUUUUUCAAAAACUCAUUCUACACUAUAGUAGGAGGAAUCAGCAUAAUCGAUAUGAAUCGGCUUGAGCUGGAUUUGUUGUUUAACCUGGAUUUCAUGCUGAAGGUGAAACUGGAGAUGUUUGGGAAGUUGGAGAAAUAUGCAACUGCUUCACCAGAGAGGGUGCCGGUUCACCAAGCUGGUGCGCCAAAGUUACGCCAGUCAAGCUGUCCAAGGAUGUAGCUGACCAAGUUAUUUGCGCCUUUGUAGAGCAUAGGACCAGAUUACUGAUUUUGUUUAGAUCUGACAUUUGUACAUUCGGAUUAUGUUUAAGUGGUUCUAGAGUGUUUGAUUGGUAGGGCAUCAAUUAUUGUGCACUCAUAUUGUGUAAAGUCGUUCUCGAGUGUUUGGUUAGCGGCAUCAAUUAAGUCUAAUUCGGCAUCAUUGUUGUGUUUUUCAUGAUCAUUUGUACUACAAUGAUUCUGGCUUUUC